rnacentral:rRNA from 1 species
CAUGUCUUUUUGAUUAUAAUUUAAGGUUUGACCUGCUCAAUGAAUUAUUAAAUUGCCGCGGUAUCUUGACCGUGCAAAGGUAGCAUAAUAAUUAGUUUUUUUAUUGAAAGCUGGAAUGAAUGGUUGGACGAGAGAACUGCUGUCUCUUUUCAAUUUUAUUUUUAAUUUAACUUUUAAGUUAAAAGGCUUAAAUUUUUUUUAAAGACGAGAAGACCCUAUAGAGUUUUACAUUCUUUAAUUUAUUUUCUUUUUGGUAUUUUAAUGUUUUAUAAUUUAAGGUUUGUUUGGUUGGGGUGACCAGAAGAUAAAAUAAACUCUUCUUUUUUAAUCAUUGAUUUUUGAAUUAAUAAUCUAGAUUUUCUAAAUUUAAUAUAAAUUACCUUAGGGAUAACAGCGUAAUUUCUUUUUAGAGUUCUUAUUGAAAAAGAAGUUUGCGACCUCGAUGUUGGAUUAAAAUUAAUUUUUGGUGCAAAAGCUUUAAAAUUAAGUCUGUUCGACUUUUGAAAUUUUACAUGAUCUGAGU